GAUGAACGCUGGCGGCGUGCCUAAUACAUGCAAGUCGAGCGAACGGACGAGAAGCUUGCUUCUCUGAUGUUAGCGGCGGACGGGUGAGUAACACGUGGAUAACCUACCUAUAAGACUGGGAUAACUUCGGGAAACCGGAACUAAUACCGGAUGAUAUUUUGAACCGCAUGGUUCAAAAGUGAAAGACGGUCUUGCUGUCACUUAUAGAUGGAUCCGCGUUGCAUUAGCUAGUUGGUAAGGUAACGGCUUACCAAGGCAACGAUGCAUAGCCGACCUGAGAGGGUGAUCGGCCACACUGGAACUGAGACACGGUCCAGACUCCUACGGGAGGCAGCAGUAGGGAAUCUUCCGCAAAGGGCGAAAGCCUGACGGAGCAACGCCGCGUGAGUGAUGAAGGUCUUCGGAUCGUAAAACUCUGUUAUUAGGGAAGAACAUAUGUGUAAGUAACUGUGCACAUCUUGACGGUACCUAAUCAGAAAGCCACGGCUAACUACGUG
rnacentral:rRNA from 1 species